GAGUUUGAUCCUGGCUCAGAUUGAACGCUGGCGGCAGGCUUAACACAUGCAAGUCGAACGGUAACAUGAGUGCUUGCACUUGAUGACGAGUGGCGGACGGGUGAGUAGAGUAUGGGGAUCUGCCGAAUGGAGGGGGACAACAGUUGGAAACGACUGCUAAUACCGCAUAAAGUUGAGAGACCAAAGCAUGGGACUUACGGGCCAUGCGCCAUUUGAUGAACCCAUAUGGGAUUAGCUAGUUGGUAGGGUAAUGGCUUACCAAGGCGACGAUCUCUAGCUGGUCUGAGAGGAUGACCAGCCACACUGGAACUGAGACACGGUCCAGACUCCUACGGGAGGCAGCAGUGGGGAAUAUUGCACAAUGGGGGGAACCCUGAUGCAGCCAUGCCGCGUGUAUGAAGAAGGCCUUCGGGUUGUAAAGUACUUUCGGUAACGAGGAAGGUGGUGUAUCUAAUAGGUGCAUCAAUUGACGUUAAUUACAGAAGAAGCACCGGCUAACUCCGUGCCAGCAGCCGCGGUAAUACGGAGGGUGCGAGCGUUAAUCGGAAUGACUGGGCGUAAAGGGCAUGUAGGCGGAUAAUUAAGUUAGGUGUGAAAGCCCUGGGCUCAACCUAGGAAUUGCACUUAAAACUGGUUAACUAGAGUAUUGUAGAGGAAGGUAGAAUUCCACGUGUAGCGGUGAAAUGCGUAGAGAUGUGGAGGAAUACCGGUGGCGAAGGCGGCCUUCUGGACAGAUGCUGACGCUGAGAUGCGAAAGCGUGGGGAGCAAACAGGAUUAGAUACCCUGGUAGCCCACGCUGUAAACGAUGUCGAUUUGGAGUUUGUUGCCUAGAGUGAUGGGCUCCGAAGCUAACGCGAUAAAUCGACCGCCUGGGGAGUACGGCCGCAAGGUUAAAACUCAAAUGAAUUGACGGGGGCCCGCACAAGCGGUGGAGCAUGUGGUUUAAUUCGAUGCAACGCGAAGAACCUUACCUGGUCUUGACAUCCACAGAAUCUUGCAGAGAUGCGAGAGUGCCUUCGGGAACUGUGAGACAGGUGCUGCAUGGCUGUCGUCAGCUCGUGUUGUGAAAUGUUGGGUUAAGUCCCGCAACGAGCGCAACCCCUAUCCUUUGUUGCCAUUGGUUCGGCCGGGAACUCAAAGGAGACUGCCGUUGAUAAAGCGGAGGAAGGUGGGGACGACGUCAAGUCAUCAUGGCCCUUACGACCAGGGCUACACACGUGCUACAAUGGCGUAUACAAAGGGAGGCGA
rnacentral:rRNA from 1 species